rnacentral:rRNA from 1 species
AAGUAAAAGUCGUAACAAGGUUUCCGUAGGUGAACCUGCGGAAGGAUCAUUACCUAGAGUUGUAGGCUUUGCCUGCUAUCUCUUACCCAUGUCUUUUGAGUACCUUACGUUUCCUCGGUGGGUUCGCCCACCGAUUGGACAAACUUAAACCCUUUGCAGUUGAAAUCAGCGUCUGAAAAAACUUAAUAGUUACAACUUUCAACAACGGAUCUCUUGGUUCUGGCAUCGAUGAAGAACGCAGCGAAAUGCGAUAAGUAGUGUGAAUUGCAGAAUUCAGUGAAUCAUCGAAUCUUUGAACGCACAUUGCGCCCCUUGGUAUUCCAUGGGGCAUGCCUGUUCGAGCGUCAUUUGUACCUUCAAGCUCUGCUUGGUGUUGGGUGUUUGUCUCCUGUAGACUCGCCUUAAAACAAUUGGCAGCCGGCGUAUUGAUUUCGGAGCGCAGUACAUCUCGCGCUUUGCACUCAUAACGACGACGUCCAAAAGUACAUUUUUACACUCUUGACCUCGGAUCAGGUAGGGAUACCCGCUGAACUUAAGC